UUUAGGAUGGCCGAAUAGGUAAGGCGGUGCUCUUUGAAAGCAUUUUUUAUUGGUUCGAAUCCAAUUCCUAGCA
rnacentral:tRNA from 1 species